rnacentral:rRNA from 1 species
AGAGUUUGAUCAUGGCUCAGAUUGAACGCUGGCGGCAGGCCUAACACAUGCAAGUCGAGCGGAUGGAGGGAGCUUGCUCCUGGAUUCAGCGGCGGACGGGUGAGUAAUGCCUAGGAAUCUGCCUGGUAGUGGGGGAUAACGUCCGGAAACGGGCGCUAAUACCGCAUACGUCCUGAGGGAGAAAGUGGGGGAUCUUCGGACCUCACGCUAUCAGAUGAGCCUAGGUCGGAUUAGCUAGUUGGUGGGGUAAAGGCCUACCAAGGCGACGAUCCGUAACUGGUCUGAGAGGAUGAUCAGUCACACUGGAACUGAGACACGGUCCAGACUCCUACGGGAGGCAGCAGUGGGGAAUAUUGGACAAUGGGCGAAAGCCUGAUCCAGCCAUGCCGCGUGUGUGAAGAAGGUCUUCGGAUUGUAAAGCACUUUAAGUUGGGAGGAAGGGCAGUAAGUUAAUACCUUGCUGUUUUGACGUUACCAACAGAAUAAGCACCGGCUAACUUCGUGCCAGCAGCCGCGGUAAUACGAAGGGUGCAAGCGUUAAUCGGGAUUACUGGGCGUAAAGCGCGCGUAGGUGGUUCAGCAAGUUGGAUGUGAAAUCCCCGGGCUCAACCUGGGAACUGCAUCCAAAACUACUGAGCUAGAGUACGGUAGAGGGUGGUGGAAUUUCCUGUGUAGCGGUGAAAUGCGUAGAGAUGUGGAGGAACACCAGUGGCGAAGGCGACUCUCUGGUCUGUAACUGACGCUGAGGAGCGAAAGCGUGGGGAGCGAACAGGAUUAGAUACCCUGGUAGUCCACGCCGUAAACGAUGAGUGCUAAGUGUUAGGGGGUUUCCGCCCCUUAGUGCUGCAGCUAACGCAUUAAGCACUCCGCCUGGGGAGUACGGUCGCAAGACUGAAACUCAAAGGAAUUGACGGGGGCCCGCACAAGCGGUGGAGCAUGUGGUUUAAUUCGAAGCAACGCGAAGAACCUUACCAGGUCUUGACAUCCUCUGACAAUCCUAGAGAUAGGACGUCCCCUUCGGGGGCAGAGUGACAGGUGGUGCAUGGUUGUCGUCAGCUCGUGUCGUGAGAUGUUGGGUUAAGUCCCGCAACGAGCGCAACCCUUGAUCUUAGUUGCCAGCAUUCAGUUGGGCACUCUAAGGUGACUGCCGGUGACAAACCGGAGGAAGGUGGGGAUGACGUCAAAUCAUCAUGCCCCUUAUGACCUGGGCUACACACGUGCUACAAUGGACAGAACAAAGGGCAGCGAAACCGCGAGGUUAAGCCAAUCCCACAAAUCUGUUCUCAGUUCGGAUCGCAGUCUGCAACUCGACUGCGUGUAGCUGGAAUCGCUAGUAAUCGCGGAUCAGCAUGCCGCGGUGAAUACGUUCCCGGGCCUUGUACACACCGCCCGUCACACCACGAGAGUUUGUAACACCCGAAGUCGGUGAGGUAACCUUUUAGGAGCCAGCCGCCGAAGGUGGGACAGAUGAUUGGGGUGAAGUCGGAACAAGGUA